rnacentral:sRNA from 1 species
CCUCCUCCUUGGUCGCCGCGUCCUUGGCUGGCGUGUGAGUACCGCGGCCCCCGCCGGAAGGAGUCGGGCGCGACAGAGACGCCCGAGGGGCCGGGAGGGCGGGCGGCCCGGGCUGCGCCAGAAGCUCGCGCCGUUAGGGACUGAGGCACAAGUGCGCCAGCGCGGGCUUAGGGGCCGUGGGCCAAGUGCGGCACUUGGGGCGAGCGCAGAGAGGCGGGGCGACGGAGGCCACGUGGCCGGCCUGGAGGGCGUCCGCGGGACUGGGGCGCCGGGAGCACUGGCUCACGGUGCAUCCCGGUCGUGGAAGCCCCUCGGCCAGGCUGCUGGGGCCUAAGGCCUGUGUUUGCUGCCGUCUCCGUGGGAGACCAGACAUCUGCCCCAGCUGUGCCUCUGGCCUGCAGACCUUCGUACACCACGUGUUUAUCAAGCACCAGUUACUGCACGCAUCAGCUGAGCACGGAGGGGAUAGGCACGGACGCAACACUUUUGGAACUUAGACGCUAGUGAGCACGGAAAGGAAUAAGCCUAAAAAUGGCUACAAACUUCCUAGCUCAUGAGAAGAUCUGGUUCGACAAGUUCAAAUAUGACGACGCAGAAAGGAGAUUCUACGAGCAGAUGAACGGGCCUGUGGCAGGUGCCUCCCGCCAGGAGAACGGCGCCAGCGUGAUCCUCCGUGACAUUGCGAGAGCCAGAGAGAACAUCCAGAAAUCCCUGGCUGGAGUGAGUACCCGCAGCCCACGGACCUGCGGGCUCCUGCUCGGCCAAGCAGCAUGUCUGAUUUUUCCUGAUGCUGCUGGUUGUUUUGGCUUCACAGCAGAGUCAGGGCAGGGUGCACGGCGCUGUGCUCCUUGGGACGUGUGGCUCUGUGACCUCCAUGCCCGGACUGCCACGGACAGUAUUCUUAUUC